rnacentral:rRNA from 1 species
AGCGCAGGCGGUGCGGCAAGUCUGAUGUGAAAGCCCGGGGCUCAACCCCGGUACUGCAUUGGAAACUGUCGUACUAGAGUGUCGGAGGGGUAAGUGGAAUUCCUAGUGUAGCGGUGAAAUGCGUAGAUAUUAGGAGGAACACCAGUGGCGAAGGCGGCUUACUGGACGAUAACUGACGCUGAGGCUCGAAAGCGUGGGGAGCAAACA